rnacentral:rRNA from 1 species
AUGAUCACGACAUAAACCAUCGUGAGAAAGCGAUUGGAGGGCAAGUCUGGUGCCAGCAGCCGCGGUAAUUCCAGCUCCAAUAGUGUAUUGUAAAGUUGUUGUGAUUAAACGCUCGUAGUUGAAUGUAAACAAUCGAGUCAUGAUUUACGUUCUCUGAUUUGGGCUUGCUCGAGUCAGUUGAACCGCAAUCAGAAAAUGACUCACUAUAAGCGGGAGUUUGAUUCAGUUCCAAACUCUUUUACUUUGAUUAAAUCAGGUGCUUAAAGCAAAAUCUUCUGUUAAUGAAUGAUGAAGCAUGGUAUAAAAUGAAAAACAGAACAGAAUCAAUAUUGAAUUAUGGGGAGGUUCGCCAUUCGAAUAUUUCAGUUUUUUGUUUUGUUUCAAACAAGAUUAAGAGAAAUGAUUAGGGUGAUUUAGAUAGGAACGGGAGAGGUGGAAUUCCAUGAUCGUUUCGAGAUAAACGAGAGCGAAAGCAUUUCACUGAAUUCAUUUCAUUAAUCAAGAACGAA